rnacentral:rRNA from 1 species
AACGCUGGCGGCGUGCCUAACACAUGCAAGUCGAACGCGAAAGUGGAGCAAUCCAUGAGUAGAGUGGCAAACGGGUGAGUAACGCGUGGGCGACCUACCUUCGAGUGGGGGAUAACAUUCCGAAAGGAGUGCUAAUACCGCAUAACAUCCCGUGUUUAGAUACACGGCGAUCAAAGCCGGGCCGUAAGGUCUGGCGCUUAGAGAGGGGCCCGCGUCCGAUUAGCUAGUUGGUGGGGUAACGGCUCACCAAGGCUCCGAUCGGUAUCCGGCCUGAGAGGGCGGACGGACACACUGGAACUGAGACACGGUCCAGACUCCUACGGGAGGCAGCAGUGGGGAAUUGUUCGCAAUGGGCGCAAGCCUGACGACGCAACGCCGCGUGGAGGAUGAGGACCUUCGGGUCGUAAACUCCUUUCGACCGAGAAGAAUGGCUCCCGACCUCAUACGUCGGGAGCAUGACGGUACCGAGGGAAGAAGCCCCGGCUAACUCCGUGCCAGCAGCCGCGGUAAUACGGGGGGGGCAAGCGUUGUUCGGAAUUACUGGGCGUAAAGGGUUCGUAGGUGGCCAACUAAGUCAGACGUGAAAUCCCUCAGCUUAACUGAGGAACUGCGUCUGAUACUGGAUGGCUUGAGUGCAGGAGAGGAACGCGGAAUUCCAGGUGUAGCGGUGAAAUGCGUAGAUAUCUGGAGGAACACCGGUGGCGAAGGCGGCGUUCUGGACUGCAACUGACACUGAGGAACGAAAGCCUAGGGGAGCAAACG